AUGUCAUACUCGUAUGUGUGUAUUAUAUGAUUUUCUACUACGUUUUGUUGUAAUUUUUGCUUCAUCGUAAUUGCGUGUAUUUCAUAUAAUUGGCUGUAUCAAUGAUGACGCAUCGCGAGAA
rnacentral:ribozyme from 1 species